rnacentral:rRNA from 1 species
GACGAACGCUGGCGGCGUGCUUAACACAUGCAAGUCGAACGGAAAGGCCCUGCUUUUGUGGGGUGCUCGAGUGGCGAACGGGUGAGUAACACGUGAGUAACCUGCCCUUGACUUUGGGAUAACUUCAGGAAACUGGGGCUAAUACCGGAUAGGAGCUCCUGCUGCAUGGUGGGGGUUGGAAAGUUUCGGCGGUUGGGGAUGGACUGGCGGCUUAUCAGCUUGUUGGUGUGGUAGUGGCAUACCAAGGCUUUGACGGGUAGCCGGCCUGAGAGGGUUACCGGCCACAUUGGGACUGAGAUACGGAGCAGAAUCGUACGGGAGGCAGCAGUGGGGAAUAUUGCACAAUGGGGGGAAGCCUGAUGCAGAAACGCCGCGUGCGGGAUGACGGGCUUCGGGUUGUAAACCGAUUUCGACUGUGACGAAGCGUGAGUGACGGUAAUGGGUAAAGAAGCAACGGCUAACUACGUG